GACGAACGCUGGCGGCGUGCCUAAUACAUGCAAGUAGAACGCUGAAGGAGGAGCUUGCUUCUCUGGAUGAGUUGCGAACGGGUGAGUAACGCGUAGGUAACCUGCCUGGUAGCGGGGGAUAACUAUUGGAAACGAUAGCUAAUACCGCAUAAUAUUGACUAUUGCAUGAUAGUCAGUUGGAAGGUGCAACUGCACCACUACCAGAUGGACCUGCGUUGUAUUAGCUAGUUGGUGGGGUAACGGCUCACCAAGGCGACGAUACAUAGCCGACCUGAGAGGGUGAUCGGCCACACUGGGACUGAGACACGGCCCAGACUCCUACGGGAGGCAGCAGUAGGGAAUCUUCGGCAAUGGACGGAAGUCUGACCGAGCAACGCCGCGUGAGUGAAGAAGGUUUUCGGAUCGUAAAGCUCUGUUGUAAGAGAAGAACGAGUGUGAGAGUGGAAAGCUCACACUGUGACGGUAUCUUACCAGAAAGGGACGGCUAACUACGUG
rnacentral:rRNA from 1 species